rnacentral:rRNA from 1 species
UUGGAGGGCAAGUCUGGUGCCGCAGCCGCGGUAAUUCCAGCUCCAAUAGCGUAUAUUAAAGUCGUUGCAGUUAAAAAGCUCGUAGUUGAAUUUCGGGAUCAAUAUUUCGGUCAUGCCGUUGGUAUGCACUGUUAUCAUUGAUUUCUCACCUUCUAAAGAACCGUAAUGCCAUUAAUUUGGUGUUACGGGGAAUUAGGACUGUUACCUUGAAAAAAUUAGAGUGUUUAAAGCAGGCUCACGCUUGAAUACAUUAGCAUGGGAUAAUGAAAUAGGACAUCCGAUUCUAUUUUGUUGGUUUCUAGGAUCGAUGUAAUGAUUAAUAGGGAUAGUUGGGGGCAUUAGUAUUCAAUUGUCAGAGGUGAAAUUCUUGGAUUUAUUGAAGACUAACUACUGCGAAAGCAUUUGCCAAGGAUGUUUUCAUUAAUCAAGAACGAAAGUUAGGGGAUCGAAGACGAUCAGAUACCGUCGUAGUCUUAACCAUAAACUAUGCCGACUAGGGAUCGGAUGAUGUUAAUUUUUUAAUGACUCAUUCGGCGCCUUACGGGAAAC